GGGUAUAUGAUGAAAUUUGGUAGACAUGGUUGUUUUAGACACAAUUGCUUAUUUAGUAUGCAGGUUCGAAUCCUGCUAUACCUA
rfam:Monosiga brevicollis mitochondrion, complete genome.